CUGCUGCCUCCCGUAGGAGUUUGGACCGUGUCUCAGUUCCAAUGUGGGGGACCUUCCUCUCAGAACCCCUACGCAUCGUCGGCUUGGUGGGCCGUUGCCCCACCAACUACCUAAUGCGCCGCAUGCCCAUCCGUGACCGGGGUCGCCCCCUUUGGCCGGCAGGGGAUGUCCCCCUCCCGGCAUUAUGUUGUAUUAGGCGGGAUUUCUCCCGGUUAUCCAUCUGUCACGGCCAGGUUGCAUACGUGUUACUCACCCGUGCGCCGGUCGCCGGCGG
rnacentral:rRNA from 1 species